AGCCACAUAAUAAGAACUGUUGGUGUUUGCUCUGGAGGAUUGCUUGAGUCCAGGAGUUCUGGGCUGUAGUGCACUAUGCCGAUCGGGUGUCCACAUUAAGUUUGGCAUCAAUAUGGUGACCUCCUGGGAGCGGGGGACCACGAGGUUGCCUAAGGAGGGGUGAACCAGUCCAGGUCAGAAAUGGAGCAGGUCAAAACUCCCAUGCUGAUCAGUAGUGGGAUCGAGCCUCUGAAAAGUCACUGCACUCUAGCCGGGGCAACAAAGCAAGACCCU
ensembl:misc_RNA Metazoa_SRP Metazoan signal recognition particle RNA